rnacentral:tRNA from 1 species
GGAAAUGUGGCUUAAUGGUAGAGUGCUUGCCUAGCAUGCAUGAAGUACAGGGUUCGAUUCCUCACUACCA